UCCAUAUGCUCUCUUUCAAUCAUGGUUCAUAUAUCCACCCACCACCGACCCAUGAUGCUCGUGACCAACCUGUCACACACUCCCUCAUCACCAUCUCUGACCUGCCCCCUCCACACGCAAGCAGCAAUCAGAAUUUCCUCACUUGGCCAUCCUUACAACACCAGCUACCUAGAAUCAACACACAAGGACACCACACCGAUUCAAAAAGAAGAGUAACUACCCCUCAACCACAGCCAAUUCCCUGGUCACUGCAUGGAUGGUUAUAAACACCACAUUCGCUUUACAAGUUGUUCUUCGUUCUUUCCUUUUCCC